GCCCUUCAAUGCUGGCCCCAGGAGUCAGACGCACCGUGCUUGUUGGCAGAGGAGCUGGAAGAGCCUGAUGCCCCUCACUGCUGUUCUCAGGAGGUGGACACAGAGUGCCUCUCGGCCAAGGAGUCAGAGGAACCUGACGCCUCUCACCUGUGGCCGGGGGAACCCGAUGCACCGUGCCUCUUGGUCAAGGAACCGGAGGAGGCGGAUGCACCUCACUGCUGGCCUGAGGAACCUGAGGAGCCCGACGCUCUCAACGCACCGUGCUUCUGGGCCAAUGAACCAGAUGAGCCCGACGCACCUCGCUGUUGGUCAGAGGAGCCCCAGGUUCUGUGCCUCUGGCCAGAGGAGCAGAACACAACGCAGUGCUGGCAGG
rnacentral:lncRNA from 1 species